rnacentral:rRNA from 1 species
GACGAACGCUGGCGGCGUGCUUAACACAUGCAAGUCGAACGGUGAAGGGACCAGCUUGCUGGUUCUGGAUGAGUGGCGAACGGGUGAGUAACACGUGAGUAACCUGCCCCCUUCUUCUGGAUAACCGCAUGAAAGUGUGGCUAAUACGGGAUAUUCUGGGUCUGUCGCAUGGCGGGCCCGGGAAAGAUAUUGCUUCGGUGGGGGAUGGGCUCGCGGCCUAUCAGCUUGUUGGUGGGGUGAUGGCCUACCAAGGCGGUGACGGGUAGCCGGCCUGGGAGGGGGGACGGUCAGACUGGGACGGGGACCCGGCCCGGACUACGAGGGGAGGCGGCGGUGGGGGAUAGUGCACAAGGGGCGCAAGCCUGAUGCGGCGACGCCCGGUGGGGGAUGGGGGCCUUGGGGUUGUAAACCUUUUUCGCCAGUAAAGCGGGCCUGCUUCUUUUGGGGGGGUGGCGGGUGGUUGGAAAAAGAGCGCCGGCUGAAUAGGG